GAUGAACGCUGGCGGCGUGCCUAAUACAUGCAAGUCGAGCGAACGGACGAGAAGCUUGCUUCUCUGCUGUUAGCGGCGGACGGGUGAGUAACACGUGGAUAACCUACCUAUAAGACUGGGAUAACUUCGGGAAACCGGAGCUAAUACCGGAUAAUAUUUUGAACCGCAUGGUUCAAAAGUGAAAGACGCUCUUGCUGUCACUUAUAGAUGGAUCCGCGCUGCAUUAGCUAGUUGGUAAGGUAACGGCUUACCAAGGCAACGAUGCAUAGCCGACCUGAGAGGGUGAUCGGCCACACUGGAACUGAGACACGGUCCAGACUCCUACGGGAGGCAGCAGUAGGGAAUCUUCCGCAAUGGGCGAAAGCCUGACGGAGCAACGCCGCGUGAGUGAUGAAGGUCUUCGGAGCGUAAAACUCUGUUAUUAGGGAAGAACAUAUGUGUAAGUAACUGUGCACAUCUUGACGGUACCUAAUCAGAAAGCCACGGCUAACUACGUG
rnacentral:rRNA from 1 species